rnacentral:lncRNA from 1 species
ACCUUGGUGGGCUGACUAAAUGAGCUAGAUUCAAGAGAGGAUUGACAACAUUGAAUUUCUGUUUGCUUCACUUUAAAUAGUUAUGUGUACCUCUAGGCUGUGUGUGUGUGUGUGUGUGUGUGUGUGUGUGUGUUUUGGAGUCAUUUAGAUAAGGAGUAGAUGGGGUAGACACUGGUCUAGCAGAAUAUACAUUUGUUCUGUUGCUCCAAUAUCAACUGAUGGUCAUCAGGAUAUUAUUUAUGGACUAUUACUCAAGGACAGAUGGAAAAUUAGACCUUUUUAAUUUAUGGCAGUGGUUUGGAUCAUUGUACAUAGACAGAAAUAGAAUUUCAUGAUGAAUUCUUUUUGUGCACUAGUUUAUGUCUAAGGAUGUUGGAUUUCUUCUUCCAACGAAUCUUCUAUUGAGUGUUGUUUUCUUUUUCUUUCUUUUUUUUUUUUUUUAGAUUUUGGAGUUAUCUUUCACUGAAUGUAGUUGUUGAUCACAUGUUGAAGAUGUUUCAUUUUCUGUGGGAAUGCUGAGUGAAUGCUGCCAAGUGCUCAUCUUCAACUCAACUGAUGCUAACAGAAACACUGGAGAAGGUCAACUCAGCCAAUGGGUAGAUCAACUAUCCAUAAAAAAAAAGCUACCUGGAACUCUACUUGAAACUGGGUCUCCAGCCCACCUGGGAUGCUGAAAAUGAAAGUCCUUCCCAGAAAACCUUCUCAGAAUGAAGGGUCGCCACACAGCAUCUACUCUUUCCCAGGAAAUGCUGCAUUCCAAGGGCCAUGGAAGCACAUGAAGAAAGGUCGAUGUCAGGUUAACAGAUUGUGGCAUUUAGAUUGGCCACCUAAACUAUUUGAGGUCAGCAUUCACACUAAUCUUGAGUGUUUGAUCUGCUGUGGGGUAAGUCCACGUCCUCGGGCACUUUACAAGGUGUAG